CUGGUUCUUUGCCACGGUGCGACAGGUUCUCGGGGCACGACGCUGCCGUCCCUUGCGCAAUUUUCAUCACUUGCUCGGCUAUCCAGGUACCACCGACUGGAGCACUGAACUGGCAGCCUGAGCGAUACAGAUCGUGUCGACACGCGGCGCCAUACUACCCAAUCGACAAGUGGCUUGCUGCUGCGAAACGGGAGCGCCUGCACAGAGGAUGGCAUCCUAGGACACGGACAAUAUAUGGGCGGCGAUCAUUCUGCUCUGACCACAGUUUGGCAGCAGUGCUCGCAGGAUUCACGUCAAUAACAAGCAUUCUCUGUACGCAGCUGCAGAGAAGCGUGCUCACCGCAAGUGGCGAUGAUGGCGAGAAAUUCUCCACCACGGACUUCGAACGACAGUCCCUUCACCAGCCAGGAACAAGUUAAGGCGUCAUCCGCCGCACAGCCGCUGACCCAGGCCCGAGUGGUUCUGCUCAAACGUCAGAUCUGGCAUUUGUCUCAGAGUGCCCACGUUUGUGGUCACGAUGACCUGGCUAUUGGCACCAUUGCCCGCAUUCAUGGAGAAUGCGUGGUUACGCACGCACGCACGCACGCACACACACACACACACACACACACACACACACACGCACACACGCACACGCACACGCACGCACGCACGCACGCGCGCACACGCACACACACACAAAGACUGCAAACAGCGCUGGAUAUAAGGCCAUAAGACGACAAUGACGACGUCUAACGCCGGUGACAUGCACGACGACUGUCAUGUCGAGUGCCGUGAGUCGAACUAAUUUAGUAUUGGCAGGGGCAGGUCCUGGUUAGUCUAAGGAGAGCUGGAGGUAGGUCAAGGGGAGGACAGAUCAUCGAAAUCCAGCACCUAUAGGACCGGGGCUUACCUAGCAGUCCAAUUGGUAAAGGCAUAGGAAAGACAUGCAGGAGAAUGUUCGUUGAACGCCGUAGUUGGGAUGCGUAGCUGGUGGAACCGAAAACUAGGCGAAGUUUCAGGAAAGUGCCUCUAAGCAUGACGCGACUGCCCCACUGCCUUCUGCUUAGGAACGCACUUGUGCUGUCCAUGUCGUUCGCUGUACGUUCGUUCUUCACCUAACUUGAAGUAGCCUAACCUAAGGCUAACUUGCUCUAAUUAGCCCCUGGCCAUUGUGUGUUCUGGCGCUGGUUUCACCGUGGAAAUUUAUUCAUCAAGUAUGAAGCAUUGGCGCAUAAGGGCAGGCCGGGUUUAACUGGGCACGUUUAAGUGUUCCAAGUUGCCCGCGGCGCGCAGUAGCAUCAGCUACGCAUCGGAGUUACGAGGGCCUGGAGGGUAAAAAGGAAGGGAGAAAUCUAUAGGAAGUUUCCACGCUGCCGCCGCCGAAGCACCAAUCGGCAUCCUUUGCAUGUUACUGACGGCGCAAACAAAUAAACGAGUGGCAUUCUUCGCAACUCUUAUUACUAACUGCGUUCGUAGGCGAAAGAUGGCGGGCCAGUAUUGAGCUAUUGUAAAAUGCGCAAUUUAGGUGUGGUUACAAUCGGCUGGUCACGCUGGUGUAGCGAAAUCUUCCGAGGCACCCAGGCUGGAGCGGACUGUCCGAGUUUCGCUUGGUUGAAAGAUAGUUGAGUGUCCACUGCAAUAGAAGUUAUUGAGACCCGAGGGCUACAACACUCGUAAUCGGUGUGGCCUGCACCCAUUGCAUUCCUGCACGAGCGUUUGCCGGAAGUAUGUAAUUUUUCUGAAGUUUAAAAUAAAGUGUUUCGCUUACUGCA